GUGUCAUUUAAGACUGCCUUGUGGUUUUGGAUGACCUAUGUGCACCCAGUUAUGAACCAAGGUUUUGGUGCAACAAUUCAGAGAAUCAAUGGAGCCAUUGAAUGCGGUGGCAAGCAACCUGCUCAGGUUCAAGCUCGCAACGGAUAUUAUAAGGAUUAUUGCAACAAAUUUGGUGUUGCUCCUGGCCCAAAUCUCUAUUGUUAAGAUGUUUUCGCCGAUACUUCACUGGCUUGUGGAAAUAAUGUGGCGUAAUUUUAUAAUAUAGGGUGGUUUCAUGUAUCGAAAACAAAAUAAAUUGAAGAAAUAAAAGUGUGUUCCUAAUGUGGUGUAAUUUUAUAAAAUAGGGUGGUUUCAUGUACCUAAAACAAAAUAAAUUGAAGAAAUAAAAGGGUGUUGCCGACCAUAUUUUAUUGCUUAUAUGGUUUGUGAUUAAUUAUGCUUCUUGGAGAAACUCCACCUUGAUUUAGCUUUGGCUUUUUUAGGAAAAGCAAUAUGAUAGAUGUUUGUCAGUGAAAAAAGAAACUAACUUUAUACAAAGAGCAAUACUAGCUUUAGUGAUUGAUUGAGUGUCGGAUUGGACACCAACUUUAAGUAACCCAGCUUUUUCAUAACAUAAUAUUUGUAACAUAGGACUUAAAAAAUAUGAUGAAUUAAUAACUUAAUAAAUGUAACAAAUAUUUUGAUAAUAUGUGUAUCAUAAAAAGAAUGUAACAAAGUAUUUGACAACAAUAAUUGGUUCAGAACAAGACAAUGUUUCCAUGGAAUUAUGAGAAGAAUCGUGUUAGAGAUUAGGACAAAGGAAACUGCGCGACAACUUUCGUACCGUAGUAUCACAGUGGCGCCUUUUUUUCAAUCUUUUGCAAUACUAAAUUUUAUUUGGCCUCCUUACUUUCUUAUGUAUUUUCAAUUUAUUAAAUAAAUCAACACAUUUAUAAAGAUGGCUGAUAGCCGGCACCGGGCAGCUUUUAUCGGGGUUGCCAGUAAGCUAAAUCAAUUUUGGAGGAGCAUAAAACUUCAGCUUUAUGAAUAACAUUAUUUUAUUGCAUUUACUCUACUAAUUUUAUGGCUUUGAACCCUUUGUUUGACAAGAAAUAUUUGUGUCGGAUCAUCGCACCACCUCAAUCAUACCAUUUAGAGACUUAUUAUUCUGUCACAUAACCCAAUAGUAUUGGAUUUUUUCCAACAAAUUUAACAUACUAAGAUAGUAGGACAACCUUACAAAAAAAUUUUGAGUUAAUAGUGCUAAAUGGUAUUAUAAUCAAAAGUGGGUCUUGGUAUCUUUUAUUAAAAAUUUUAGAUCUACAUAACCAUUUCUCUAAACCUUGAGGAUGUAGGUAUCUUUUUCCCUAAAGUAAAAGAUUCUCUUAUUAUAAGAUUAAAAUUACUCAUAGUGAUAAUAUUAUAAUCUAUUGACAUUUUUUUUUUCAAUUAGACCAAAUUAUAAUAUUUUUUAUAAUAAGGUAAAGCAGUGCUAAGUCUUUAAACUUCUGAUGAUUUCAAUUUAUUCAAUAAAUAUAUAAUCUCUAACUCUAAUUGAAGAAAAAAAAAAGGUUGAAUUGGGGACAUAUUUAAAAGUAAAAUAAAUAUUGUUUUAUGAAAAAUUAUAAAAAAUUAAGGGGUUUAAGCAAAAAUUUUCGAGGCCUGGGUCCGCCCCCAAAGGAACAGUCACUUUUGGUCAAUUUAAUUUGAAAGUUCCACAAAUAAUAAUGCUAAAUCAAAUUCAGUUGUAAAUGAACAAGAACAAGACGAGAAUUUGGGCGACAAUUAGGGAACAAGAUGAAAUGAAGGUGAGAUGAGAUGAAGAUGAUUUUGAGAAGAAGAGAGAGAUUUGGAAUUUGGGCCGGAUUGUUUUUAAGUUCUGAAAUAUGUUUUAGAGGGUAUAAUGUUAAUAACCAAAUAACAACAUCCUACCGUUGAAACUACUUUUUCAUGUAUACAGCUGAAGUAUCAUAAUGAAAAAAUUUGACACAUGUUGCAAUUGUUUCAAAGUAAUUGAAUCCUAUAUGAUUAUUAUUUUGCAACAAGCUAUAUAUAAACAAUAAUUUACUUAAGGGUGGGCAAUGAGACGAUUUGAUUAGGUAUUGGGCCGAAUCCAAAACUUUAGUUUGGUUCAGUACUGAAUUCUUGAAAAAUCAAUAGGAAUAGAAUUAGAACUAAGAUUUUCGAUUUAGUUUGGUCCUUUAAAUAUUUAUAAAAUUUUUUAAUUUUUUUACAAAAUUUAAUAUUUUUUAUUUAAUUUCUUAUAUUCUCUUAGAUCAUGCUAUGUAGCAUUACUUAAAUAUAAAAUAACGUCAUUUUUUUUCUGCUUCGGUUCUAAUUAUGAGAAUUUAAUUCAAUUUCAUAUUUGUUUUAUCAACUUUUUUUAAAGAAAAUGUCCCUUGAGUUUACCUAUAAGAAAAUAGACAUCGUUCAAGAAUGAAAGUUUAGAAAAUUGACUAGACUUUUCAAGUCUUUAAAAGAUAUUGUUUUAUAUGUAGGUUAUGCUAACUUCUUGCUUACGAGAAUUUUCAAGUCUUUAGAAGAUAUUGUUUCAUAUGUAGGUUAUGCUAACUUGUUGCCUACGUAAACGAGCUAAGGAUACUAUUCCUCGAAAUAAUUAUCCAGAAGAAAAAGUUUGAUCUAUUAAUUAAAAUUAGGGAGAAUGAUGCUCGAUCUAUCUUAUAAUUUAUUUUUACAACUUGAGUUCCAAUGAAAUUUAUUACUCAUUUUGUUCCAACUUUUAAACAGUGACAAAAAAUAUGCAUUAUUAAAGGAUAAAUGAGAACUUUUCACGUACAAUUUUGAUAGAUCUGCAAAAGAAAAAAAAUGAAGAAGAGGAAGUGUUUUUACUGUAAGAAACAAGGCCAUUACAUUAGAGAUUGUUCUGAGAAAAAGAAAUAUGAUAAAGAGAGAAUAUGAGAUGCAGCAGUGGCCUCAGAUGAUUUAUCUGAUGAUGGAUACCAUAGUGCUGACUUGUUGGUAGCCUUAAACAACAACAUUAGAGGUUAUUAGGUCCUUGAUUUAGAUUGUUCCUUUCAUUUGUGUCCUGAUAGAAGUUUUUUUUAUGAGUAUGAAUAUGUGGAUAGUGGUAGAGUUUUGAUGGGAAACAACAAUGUGUGUAAGAUUUUUGGUAUAGGGUUUAUCAAAAUAGAGAUGUUUGAUGGGAUUGUUAUAACUCUAUGUGAUGUGAGACAUACACCUAGGCUAAAGAGGAACUUAAUCUCUUUAGGCAUGCUGGAUAGUACAUGAUACUUCUUCAAAUUUGAAAAUAGUGGUUUAAAGAUUAUGAAAAGGACUGAGAUGGUAAUGAAAGGGAUUAAGAAAAAUGGUCUUUAUAUAUUAGAAGGAUCAUCAGUGCUUGUGUCAACUAUAAUGACAACUAUUUCUGAGCUUGAUAGAACUAUGUUAUGACAUCUUAGACCUGACCAUAUGAGUAUUAGGGGAAUGCAAAAAUUAAGUAUUCAAGGGUUGCUCUGUGGUGACAAAAUAAUUGAGUUAGACUUAUGUGAAAACUGUAUUUUUAGCAAAGCACACAUGUCAAAUUUACUAAAGGGAUGCAUGUGUCUAAACAACCUUUAGACUAUGUGCAUGCUGAUCUUUGAGCGCCUGGUCAGGUCUCUUCUCUAAGUGGUGGAAAGUACUUUAUAUCUGUGAUAAAUGAUUACUCCAGAAAGGUUUGGGUAUAUAUAUUUGAAAACCAAAGAUCAAGUCUUUGAAAAGUUUAAAGUCUUGAAGGCUUUGGUGGAGGCUCAAUAUGGUUUCAAAGUGAAAUGCCUUAGGACAGACAAUGAACUUGAAUUCUGUAAUAAAGAGUUUAAAGUUUUUUUUUUAUCAAGAAUGAGGGAUUAAGAGGCAUAAGACGGUAAGGCUCACCCCUCAGCAAAAUGGCUUAGUUGAAAAGAUGAACAGAACCCUUGUUUAUAAGACAAGAUGCUUAUUGAUCAAUUAUUAAUUACCAAGGAGUUUUUGGGUUGAAGCUAUCUCAACAGCCUGUUAUCUCAUUAAUAGAAGUCCAUCAUCAGCCAUUGGGUUCAAAACUCCAUAAGAAGUCUAGUCUGGAAAACUUGCAAGCUAUAAAUAUCUCAGGGUAUUUGGGCAUCCUACGUAUGUUCAUAUUAGACAAGGGAAGCUUGAUGCACAAGCUGUCAAAUGAGCAUUUGUUCGUUAUAUAGAUGGGGUUAAAGGCUACAGAGUUUGGUGUGGAAAAGCUAAUAAGUGUUUAAUUAUUUAUUCUGUUUAAUGAAGUUGUUGUAAUCAAUAAGUCUGAUCAAGUAACUUCUGAUACUGAUAUUAAUGUAAAUAAGACACUGACUACUGGAGUCAUUAAUCAAGGUGUUAAUAUUGAGGUAGAGUUGUCUAGUGCUCAUAAAGAUGAAGUACAACCAGAAGCUGUUGAAGAUUAUUCUCAAGAUACAGUAGUAAUUGAAGAUGCAGCACCACAAGUUACUGAUCUGCAAUAAUAUCAAUUAGAUAUGGACAUAUAAAGAAGACAUAUCAUACCCCCAAAAAGGUAUGCAUAUACAGACAUAGUUGCAUAUGCAUUGACGAGUGUAGAGGAUGUUUCAAUUGAAAAGCCUAGCAGCUACGCAAAAGCACUAAGUACAACAAUAACUAGAUUAAAGCAAUAAGGGAAGAGAUGGAUUCUCUGGUAAGGAAUCAGACAUGGACAUUGGUUUCUAAUCCAAGAAAUAGGAAAAUUGUCAGCUGCAAAUGGAUAUUCAAGAAGAAUGAGGGUAUUCCAUGUGUUAAAGACUCAAGAUAUAUGGCAAGACUUGUGGCAAGGGGUUUCAAAAUGAGGGGUAUAUUUUAAUGAAAUCUUCUCACAUGCUGUAAAACACAAAUCAAUUAGAACCUUACUUGUUAUGGUGACUUUGCUUCAUGUAGAGCUUGAACAAAUGGAUAUAAAGACUGCCUUCUUACAUGAUAAUCUUGAAGAAAAGAUAUUAAUGUCACAGCCUGAAGGUUUUUAAGUAAAGGGACAUAAGGAUUAUGUAUGUCUUCUGCAUAAGUCUCUAUAUGGCUUGAAAGGGUCUCCUAGGCAAUGUAAGAGAUUUGACCAGUUUAUGAUCUCUAAUGGCUAUUACAAGAGCACAUAUGAUAAUUGUAUCUUGUUGAGUGUUAGAAAAUAUAUAUUUAUAAAGGAGAAAAUCGUCAUUUUACAUUUCAAGUCUUAUUAACACCCUUACUUUUAUGUAUUUUAAGUUUCUUGUGAUUCAAUUAUAUAUGUUUUAUUUUAAUUAAGUAUUUUAUGUAUUUUAGGGACAUCAUGGUCAUUUCACAAUGAACUAGAGAUCAGACGGCAAAACGGACAUCACUUUUGAACUCAGGACAGUCGAAAACCUUAGGAGGAGCAUAAAAGGAAAAAUAUCAUUGUUCACAUGUACGAUAUUAUUCACAUGUACGGUAUUGUUUACGUUACUGUUCACGACACUGUUCACAUAGACGGAUCAAUGACGUGGCAUUGACCGAUGAUGUGGCAUUGACUGACGAGGUGACACGAUUCCAUUGGAGAAAAUUCUUAUGCACUGUUGAUUGGUGACGCGGCAGCAUAUCAGUGGACUAAAAAUCGCGCGUACAGUACAUGCAUAUACACAGGAUUAUUUUCAACCAAACCGUGUCACUAUUCAAACCAGUUGACUGUUCAAACCGUGUGGUCAAACCGUAUCACUGUUCAAACCGCGUGGUCAAACUGCGUACUGUUGACUGAUGACGUGGCGCAAUCCUGAGCGUUCAAACUGUUUUUAAUUCGAUAGCCAUUGUUUACUCAAUGUAUCUAUAAAAAUAGGACCUCUCCCCCCUAUUUUGAUAUCUCUGAAUUCAAUUUUAAGUUCCAUUUUCUAUAAUUCCUUCUCCAUCUUGUAUUUUCUACGUAUUUUAAUAAAUUCUUAUUUUGCUCCUAGUUCAAUUAUGAGUAGUUAAUUUUCUUUCAAGCUUGGGUUGAAGGUGAAGUCUCAACAUAUGUCAUGGGCUUUAUUUGGUAAAUUUAUUUUCUCUUCACCUCUAAUUUUUGUGGAUGUUUUGACUUUUCGUCGACAAAUAAUAAUAAUCUUGUCUAGAUACCGCACUGAUUUUACCGGCUCCCUAGUACAAAGUUAUUAUUAUUUGGUACGAUAAGCUCUUAGCACCAUAUUGAUUAGAGUGUGGUUCAUGAGGUGUGGAUUCCCCCCUCAUGAUUUAAUUGGCAUUAAUAAGAAAUAUUUAGCCCAUGGUGCAUGUUGAUGCGGAUCUAGAUACCCAAGCGCUUCAAUUAUUAUAGUUUCCAUUUUAAUUUAAUUCUGCCAUUUCAAUUUAAAUUUUAAGAUAUUCCAAAUCAUCUUUACCAUAAUUCCAACCACCCAUUUAGAAAAAUUAAUUCUACACACAAUUAAAAUCCACCUCCUCGUGGGAUCGACACUUGUCACCAUUGAUCUAUUCUAAAAUAGAUUCGUGCACUUGCGAGUUCAAUAAAAUUUGUACAACAUGUCUAUCAUAGGAACAUAAGCUCAGGUGGAGCUAUGUAUCUUUUGUUGUAUGUUGAUGAUAUACUCAUUGUUGGUAAAAAUUCUAGUGAUAUUGAGAAACUUAAGAAUUUAUUAAAGGGGGAAUUUGAAAUGAAAGAUCUUGGCAGUGCUAAGAUGAUCCUUGUUAUGGAUAUUCUUAGAGAUAGAGUUGUUGGUACUUUGUUUCUAAGCCAAUCAAGAUAUGUCAGUAAGGAGUUAGAAAAGUAUAUUAUGAUGGAUUCAAAACCUGUAAUGACACUUUUGGGAGCUCAAUUUAAACUCUCUAAUGAUAUGUCUCCAAUAUCAUAUGCUAAGAAAUUCUAUAUUUACUGGCUGUAGGAAGCUUAAUGUAUGCAAUGGCUUGCACCAGAGCAGACAUAGCUUAUGCAGUAAGUGUAGUAAGCAGGUUUAUGAGUAAUCCUGAUAAGCUUUAUUAGGAUGCUAUGAAAUGGGUUAUGAGGUACUUGAAACGUACUUUAGAUCAUGGUCUGGUGUAUGGCAAAUCCAAGCAAGAAGUCUAUGAAGUUAGAGGCUAUGUGGACUCUAAUUUUGCAGGUGACUUAGAUAGGAGAAAUUCUAUCUCUGGAUACCUGUUCAUGCUAGAAAAUUGUCUCAUAAGUUGGAAACUUACUUUACAACACAUAGUAGCUUUGUUAUCUACUGAGGCUGAAUUUUUGCUGCAAUAGAGGCAGUAAAAGAAUCAUUGUGGCCGAGAAGGCUACUGAAUGAAUUUUGGUUGAAACAAAAGACAAUUUAGAUCUUUUGUGAUAAUUAGAGUGCGAUUCAGCUUAUAAAAAAUGAAAUUUAUCGUGGGAGAACCAAACACAUUGAUAUGAAGUUGCACUUUAUCAGAGAUGAGGUCGCAAAAGGGUUUGUUGUAGUAACAAAAAUAUAUACAGAUAUCAACCCUACUGAUAUGUUAACAGAAGUAAUUCCAACAGCCAAAUUUAAGAUUUGUGUAGACUUGAUUGGUAUUGGAAAUGGUUCUAGUUGUUAAGUUGCGUGGUUGAAGGUUUUUUUUUUAAAGCACUUAUGGUCAAGAGUAAUGCUGAAUCAGAUCUGCAAGGUGGAGAGUGUGAGGACAUGAGUUAUGUUUUUGGACUAAAAUGUAAUCGAAUGAAAGUUGUUGGGUAAUGUGCAAAUCGACUUCAAAUGAGGAGUCAAUUUGUAAAUUCUGCGCUAAUGUGGCAAAAAGGUUAAAGGUUGUUAAGGUGUUUCUAGAAAAUUUCCAAAAUAUGAAAGGGCCUGCUGUGCAUUGCUUUGUGUGUGAUUUCUCUUUUGUUUCUUAGCUAAAAAAGGUGAUUCUAGAUUCUUUGGAAUCCUUGAAGUGUCCUCAAAACAAUUGAUCUGAUUGUAAAGCAUUUGAGUAAUGAGAUCUUGUUCAUUUUUCCUUUGAAACUUGGAAGCUUGUUCACUGUGAAUAGUUUUCUAGGUUCUUGUUUGACUGAAUCAUUUUCUGUUCUUGAUUCCAUUCUGUCUUUAAUUGAUCAAAGUUGUGUGAGUUGAUUAAUUUCUUGUUAAUAGCCAUUAAAAUACAACAGGAAAACUACCAAAACCUAACCCGAAAUUCGAAUGUUGCCAAAUCCUGAAUCUAAAUCCAAAUUUCUAAAUGUUGACAAAUCCUAAUCCUAACCCUAAAUCUGAUACUUGUUCAGCUUUGGUGGGAAAAUCUUUUAUAGAAGAUAGUUUUCUUCAUGGUUACGUUGGUGGUCUAUAUGAGGUUCAAACUAUGUGCGUACAAUGAAUUCAAGACCUUUAAUAAGGUUUAAUUUAAAUUUAUAGUGAAAGAUUAUCGUGUCUAUCUAAGGAAGUGAAAUCUUAUACUUCCAUUUGGGAACUAGCUAGCUUAUCGAAACAAGUUUUGAACAAUUUAAUUAUUAAUGUUCAAUUUUGAUGUACUGAUCUCGGAAGUUGGAAUAAUGGAGCACAAUUAAUUAAUUUCCUUGAUAUUUAAUUAGAAUGUGAAAUCUUUAUUUCUCUUUUGGGGAAGCUAAUUUAUUGCUGCAAGUUUUGCAACCUAAAAAUAGGUUCCCUUACUGUUAAAGUAGAUUGUCAAUGAACCGCUGUUAUUAAGUCCAAAAAUCAUAAACAUAAAUUGUAAAAUAAUUUAUUGUAGAUGACAAAAGAUGUAUUGGGCCGGACUCAACAAAGGGUGCGUUUUUUAUUUGGAAUCAGUGGAUGUCCUAUGGAACGCCUCAAGGUCCACUAAACAGCCACACAACUGUUAUGGUAAAAAAUGUUUUCAGGUCAGCGGAAGUUUUUUUGAAUAAUCAAUGGAGGAAAGUAAAAAAUACCCUUAGUUUGUAAGUGAAAUUACUACAUAUUUAUUUUGUUAUAUCAUUUAAGAUCAUGUCUUUUUCUGGUUGACGUGCAAUCUUGGCCAUGAAAUGGGACUCUUUAUUGCUUGAACAAUAGUUGAAAGAACUAAUUACUAAUCACAUGAUUUGUGGUUUAUACCUCCAUCAGCCAGAAUCAUACAAUUGUAAACAACUAUUGUCGUGUAGAAAAAAAUCAAGAAUAAAGUUAAUUUGUAUGUUUUUUUUUUGCCAUAAGAUAUAUAUAUAUAUAUAUAUAACUGAUUUGUUCCUAUAGAUUAUGAUAUGUUUGUAAACAACUUUCAGGUUGAUUUGCAAUUGAAAUAUUGUUCUCGUCUGCCAUAAAUUAAUGGAUUAUUUUUGUUGUUAAUUGACUCGUCUAUGAAAUUAAAGAAAACUGGAAAUACUUUAGAGCCAUAAUUUCUUUAAAAACUAGUUAUUAAUUUGAUAAAUGAUGAACAUUCAAUUCUUUAAUUGGAUAAAACUUAAAGCCUGCAGAUAAUCAUACAUAUUUUAGGCAAUUUUCUUUUGCUCAAAUAUUAUAAUGUGAAUGUGAAUGAUGUGGUGCUCCUAAAACACCCAACGCCCAAGACUUUUUUAUAAUAGAGUAAAUUUAACUUAGACAUGUUUGGCAACGGAGUAAAGUUUGGGGAUUUUGUUAUGUAUGCUCAACUACUUUGUGCACUGAGUUCUAUCAAGGUAAGCACUGUACAGUCCAUUAUCAGACUCAGACAACUAUUAUAGUGUACUCCUCUUUCUUGUCAUAUUUUUCCUUUUCAAACGUAAUUAAAGAAAUUACAUAUUCAAAUGAAAUGACAUACCAAAAGGAGCCUAGUCAUAAGUCCAGCAAGCUUUAUCAUUCAAAGUAGCCCCAAUUGUGAUUUGUCAGAAGGCUUAGAAUGAAGGACAAAAAUCCCAAGAGAAGAGCCUAAUAAAAAAUUAGAGCAAAACAAUAAUUCCAUUGACCGAUAUCAUUUAUAAAAGAACCUUUGAAAAAAAGAAAAUUAUGCACUUUUUAUUUUGGGCGAUACGAGAUGCUUUCCAAACAGCAUGUGUUAAGAAAUCCCAAAAAUUGUACACGUGUAAAAAAUUACUGGCUGAUUCGACGGAUGAGGUUGGCUUUUUGCCCCUUUUUUUUUUUUUUGUCAGGAGGAUGUGGUUGGCUUUUCAUACAAAUAAGGGCAAAUUACCCUAUUUAUAAAUUAGUAAAAGGGACACUUGGAAUCCUUCUAAGUUCAUUUUAAAAAAAAAAAAAAUUCUGAAAAGCUAAUGUUUCUUAUCCGACAAAGAGAACUUUUAUCUUCUUAUCAUGAUUUAUGAAUACUGAUUUUGAUGUUUUCAAUCCAGCUCAGAAAUUUUUUUUCCUUUGAUCAUGAUUCAUGAACAAUGUGUUUGAUGCUUUAACUGUGCAGUUUUCAUCUCCCCAGGUGGAAAGUUUUGAGUAAAAAGUCAUAGAUUUUCUUUGAAUCUUUUAUUAAACUUGUCAAAAGAACAUGCUACCGACAUUACAAAGAAAAUCUGUUUUCUUUUUUUCCCGUUUUUCGGGCAGCCGAAUGCAAUCGAAACAAGUUUCGUACCGUUGUAAACUUGUAUACUUGAUGGUCCCAAUCAGUGGCUGCCUGUUUCUAAUAUCGAAGUAAAAAAAAAAAAGUUAUUUUUCCGAUUGCAGAUAUAUUUAUUUUGAUUAAAAUUGGCUAUCACAAAUAGAUUAAUGCAAAAUUGGUCAUCAUGUGUUUGAUUAAUUUAUCCUAUUUUUCGUUAUUAGUUUUAAGCUUUUCUUUCAAGUUUUUUUUUGGGACAAAAUUUUCAAAUUUUCUAUGGCCAUAAUCAUAUGUUGGGGUUUGUAUCAGAAAAAAGUUUUUAAGUAUUUGUAUGGAAAAAGACAACUUAUCCUACGUGAAAGUUUUAGAAGCUCCUUUGAUCGGUUAGAUUUUUAAUAAGGAUAUUUUCUAAUUAAUUUUAUAAGUAUAUAUAUAAACUUUUUUUUUUCAUGUGGACAGCUUAUUGUUUAUUUCAUAUGCCACGUUAUUGAGUCAUAUGAUUUAAUAAAAUUAGUACAAACAUAUUAUUAAAUUACAUGAUUUUAUAAUAUAUUAAAUAUUGAUUUUAUUAAAACAGAUGAAACCCUUGUACUUGAGAAUGAAAGUUUGUAUACAUUAGGACGUCACCAAAAUAUUUUGAGAUAUUAAAUUGAUUAGUGACACACCAGAAUAUCAAUGCCGAGAAGAGAACGAGAAGAACUAGUGUGGAGAAAAGGGUACAAGAAGAAUUGCUUUCAUUUCAUGGACCCAAAUUUACGCCGCUAAUUGAGAACGGGAGUUAGUGGAAGGCUUGACUUUUCAGUUUCGAAGAUAUACAUAAAUAUUUCAGUAUUUAUAAACGGAAAAUAUUAAAAAAAACUCAGAUGUUUGGACUGAUUAUUAAUUUUUACAUUGUGAUAACUGAUAUCACUAAAAAAAGGAAAAAGAAUUAAGGAAAGAAAGGAAAUUAAGUUAUAAAGAAAUUAGGGUAUAUAUCCUAUAUUUUAAUUUAAAUAUCUUUUUUGUCCACAUAUUUUAAAAAAAAAUGUAAAGACAUCCUAUUUUAAAUAUGUUACGAUCUUCCUCUUAUUUUUUUCUUACCUUUUACAACAAUACUAACAAUAAUAUUUUUGGCAUUAAUUUUUUAUCUAAAAAAAUAAAUAGCAUAUUAACCAAUAUAUUAGAAAAUUAGAAAUAAAUAUCAUUCUACAACAACUAGUAACCAUUUAUGAUAAAUUAAAACCAACUAAUUUAAAGCAAUGUUUAAGCUAAGUUAAUUUUUUGUAAAAAAAAAUUAAUUACCAAAUUAAUCCUAAAAUUAAGAUAACAAAAAAUAGAUAGAGUAAUUUUUAUCUUACUUUUAAGACUAAUUUGAUAAAUUCAUUUUUUUUUUCUUUUCAUUGAAUCUCCAACAAUAUUAUUGUAAGGGUAUUAUUCUAAAAUCAAAGAAAAGAUCAGGGUAGGAAUGUAAUAUAUUUACCAGUAAAGAUGUCUUGAAAUAUUUUCUAAAAUAAAGAGAUUAAAUGGAUACUUAACUGAAAAAUACACAGACCAAAUAAGUAUUUAGCUGAGAAAAUAUGAUACCAUGUUAUUAGUUAUUAAUUAACAAACCUAAAAAAAUUUAAAUCACUCAAAUGAGUACAAACCACAUAUUUUUUUGUUAAAAUUUGUGUAAAGUCUAGUGCAUGUGUAUAUAUAUAAACAAAGUAGGUAGAUAAUUAAAAAUAAACAUGUCUGAGUUUCAAUAUCUGAAAGCUCGAAACAAGUAUGAGUUUAAGAUUUUCCAAUCUACAAUUAAUUCAGUUACAUUAAAAAACAAAUUUCCUCAAAAUUUAUUGAAAAUUAGUUAUUUAAAAUUAUAUUUUGUACAAUUAUUAUUCAAAUUUAAUUUGAAAAAGUUUAAUAUAGAUGGCGGUCAAUCAACAACCCACUCGAAAGAUUUGAUUUAUUUUCUUUUAUUUUAUUUCUAGUUCUUUUGACAAGUCAAGCCAGCUAGAUUUCAAGCCACAACAAAUGCGAAGUCUAGAAAAACCUAACAAGAGAUAAACUCUAUGUUCAAAUUUAUCACAAUUCACCAGCACGUGGCAGACAUAACGUCCAUUUUGCACUCUAUAAAUACCGUACUCCCAUCACCAACAUUUGCAUAUCACUCACAUUUCUCUACUCCUAAACAAAAUGGCUCCACUUAACAUGAAAAAAAAUAUUGUAACCUUUGCUCUUGUGGGCAUUCUUGCCCUAGCUUUUCCCACCAAAGUAAUGUGUCAAAAUGUUGCUAGCAUUGUGACUCCCCAGUUCUUCGACGGCAUAAAGAAUCAGGCAGCCGCGAGUUGUGCCGGCAAGAGCUUCUACACGAGAGAUGCGUUUCUGAAUGCUGCCAAGGCUUAUCCUCAAUUUGGUAGCGGCUCUCCUGAAGUUUCGAAGCGUGAGAUUGCUGCAUUUUUUGCACACGUCACUCAUGAAACUGGACGUAAGUUCUCUCCAUUUUAUUUCUUUUUGCAUGCAAAGUAUUUAUGAGCAAUCCAUGCAUAGAGAAGAAAACGACUUUUCUUUGUUUUAUUAUUUUCAAAACCGUUUUUGAAAUUUUUUAAAACUAUAUCCCCCAAGGUUGGAAUGAACAUAAUCUUUUUAAUUACAUGCUUUAUAUGUAUUAAAUAAUGUUCUCAGUUUGUUGAACACAUAAAAGUUUUCAAUAAAACUAAUUGAAUACUCCAACUUUUAAUUGAUAUGAUUUGCCACUAGCCAAUUAUCUUGAUUAAGCCCGGAGAGAAUUAAUUAGAAAAAAAAAUGUCUGGCUUUUUCAGAUUUGUGCUACAUAGAAGAGAUUAACAAGUCCAACCGGUACUGUGAUGAACAAAACAAACAGUACCCAUGUGUUCCCGGAAAGUUCUACUACGGCCGUGGACCGAUCCAACUCACCGGAAAUGGAAACUACGGAGCUGCCGGAAAAGCCAUCGGGUUUGACGGAUUAAGAGCUCCGGAAACGGUGGCCAAGGACCCCGUUGUGUCAUUUAAGACUGCCUUGUGGUUUUGGAUGACCAAUGUGCACCCAGUUAUGAACCAAGGUUUUGGUGCAACAAUUCAGAGAAUCAAUGGUGCCGUUGAAUGCGGUGGCAAGCAACCUGCUCAGGUUCAAGCUCGCAUUGGAUAUUAUAAGGAUUAUUGCAACAAAUUUGGUGUUGCUCCUGGCCCAAAUCUCUCUUGUUAAAAUGUUUUCGCCGAUACUUCACUGGCUUGUUGAAAUAAUGUGGUGUAAUUUUAUAAUAUAGGGUGGUUUCAUAUACCUAAAACAAAAUAAAUUGAAGUAAUAAAAGGGUGUUGCCGACCAUAUUUUAUUGCUUAUAUGGUUUGUGAUUAAUUAUGCUUCUUGGAGAAACUCCACCUUGAUUUAGCUUUGGCUUUUUUUAGGAAAAGCAAUAUGAUAGAUGUUUGUCAGUGAAAAAAGAAACUAACUUUAUACAACGAGCAAUACUAGCUUUAGUGAUUGAUUGUCGGAUUGGACACCAACUUUAAGUAACCCAGCUUUUUCAUAACAUAAUAUUUGUAACAUACAACUUGAAAAAGAUGAUGAAUUAAUAACUUAAUAAAUGUAACAAAAAUUUUGAUAACAUGUGUAACAUAAAAAGAAGGUAACAAAUUAUUUGUCAACAAUAAUUGGUUCAGAACGAGACAAUUCACUUGCCAAAACAAGACAAUAUUUCCGUGGAAUUAUGCGGAGAAUCGUGUUAGAUAUUAGGACAAAGGAACCUAUGUGACAACUGUUGUACCUUUUUUUGUGAUGCUAAAUUUUAUUCAACCUCCUUACUUUCUUACGUAUUUAUAAUUUAUUAAAUAAAUCAAUAUAUUUAUAAGAUGGCUGAUAGCGGGCACUGGGCAGCUUUUGUUGGGGCUCCCAGUAAGCUAAAUCAACGAAAAUUGUUAGGAAAUUGACUGUGCUAACUUGUUGUUUACGAGACUUUUCAAGUCUUUAAAAGAUAUUGUUUUAUAUGUAGGUUAUGUUAACUUGUUGCUUAGGAGACUUUUUAAGUCUUUAAAAGAUAUUUUUUUCAUGUCUAGGUUAUGCCAACUUAUUGCUUACACGACUUUUGAAGUCCUUAAAAGAUAUUGUUUGAUAUGUAGGCUAUGCUAACUUGUUGCUUGAUUUAUUAAUUAAAAUUAGGGAGAAUGGCAUUCCGUCUAUCUUAUAAUUUAUUUUUGUGACUUGAGUUUCAAAUAAAUUUAUAAUUCAAUUUGUUCCAACUUUUAAACAGUGAAAAAAAUGCAUAACUAAAGGAUAAAUGAGAACUUUUCACAUACAAAUUGACUAUCCAUAAUUAUUAAAAUUAGUUAAUUAUUUAUUGAAGUUUAUAUUUUCUCUUUAACAAUAUUUUUUUCUUAUUAUUGUAACAUAAAGAAAAAUAGAGUCUUAAAAAUUAAACAGUGAUCUAAAUAUAUAAAAAUACAUUCUCAUAAUGACCUAAGUCUAGUCUCUUUUUAAAUAAAUCCUUACUUAAGUAAUAAGGAAACUGAUAUGAUAAAAUUGGAUCUAGUCCAACCACUGGUGCAUUUAUAAGCUAUAGUCGCGUACAAUUAAGACUUAAUUACAUAUAAUACAUAUUAUUUUUUACGUAUGCAAUAACUACCGAUCACCAUAUAUAUUUAAAAAGCUCAGCUAAUCUAAAUUCCCAUAUAUUUUUUUAUAAAAAUUAGAAAACUUGCCUGAAUUUGUCGGAUUAAAUUUCUGGUUACAGUCUCCUCACGCAACUCAGUUAGGCAGUCCAAACAAGAAAAGACAAGCAAAGAAGAAAAUAUUAGCCGACUACAAACUUGACCAGUCAAUUUGGUGAAAAGUAUAUACAAGACUUGAUUGAAUUUAUUAUAUUAAUUAUAGAAAUUAGUCUUCUGAUCUUCUAGACACGAAUUUUUCUAUGAAUUAUCAUUCUAUAUAAAGUGACGUGUAGCUAUUGUAUAACUGCAUGUGAUACAUCAUUUAUGCUCAUUAAUUUGCAUAGAUUUGUGUACUUAAAUUUAGCCAAUACAUUUUCAUGUCACAUUACUGCCACUAAAUCAUUCAUCAAUGAAAAUAGAAAAAGUUAUCCCAACAGGUCGUGGACGUAUCUUGCAAAUUAAUCUUUUACAGAAGAGAUCUUCAGAUCUAAUAAUAUAUCAAGUCUUGCGCAUAUAUAUGGUCUAGAGAAGAUAUUGCAAUUCUAUUAAUGAAAAAUAGGGAAAAAAAAUUAAGGCCGAUAACUCUCUUCAUGUAAAUUCAAUAUUGUUUUGUCCUUGUUUCCUUUUUGUUAUAAUUAUUAUUUGAUUGCUCAUGUGUAAUUGAAAAUUCAUAAUACUAAAUUUCUCUUAAAAUAAGCAGGCCCAAAUGGAAAAUAUCUUUGGCAAAAUUUUCCACAAAACUAUUUUGUUACAUUAAUUUAUAAGGUCCGCCUACCGUGCAACAGUUACACGGUACCACUGAAUUUUGUCUUUUUCAAACAAUUACACUACAUUACCCAAUAUUUUUAAGAAAACUGAAUAGAUACUAUAAGUUACAAAUUUUUAUAUAUAGGUCAUUUUCUCUGGAUAAAAUUAUAAAAUGACUUUUGAAAAAAAAAUUAACUGUUAUUAUUAGUAUUAUUUAUUAAUGUCAUUAUUAUUAUUAUUAUUAUCAUUAUUAAAAUUUAUUAUUUUAAUUGUUAUGAUUGCUUUAAUUAGUUAUCAUUAUUAUUAUUAUUUAUUGAUUUUAUUACCGUCACUAUUUUUAAAAUAUAUUAAAUUUAUUACUGAAUUAUUAUUGAAUUAUUAUUUUAUUAAUAUUAAUAAAUUUAUUAAUCUUAUUAUUCUAAUUAUUAUAUUUAUAUUAAUGUUGUCGUCGUCAUCAUCAUUAAACUUUAUAAUUUUUUUUUUGUUUUGACUAUUAAAUAAUACCACUGUCAUUAUUAUUAUUUUGCCUUAAUUAAGCAUUACAUAUAUUUUAAUUAUUUUUUUUAUUUUUAUUAAUUAUAAUAAAAAUAAAAAAAUAAAUUAUACUAUAAUAUUAUUUUAUUAUAUCAUAUUAUAUUUAUGUAAAAAUAAUUAUGCAAAUAAUAAUUUAAUAUAAUUAAUAAUAAAUUUAAAAAAAUUUAGUUUAAUAUUAGUACAAAAUUAAUGCAGUACAGGAUAAUACCAAUUACCAAAUGUUGUAUAAUUUUAUUAUAAUUAUUAUAAUAUACUGCUAAUGUAAUAUAAUAUAAUAUAAUACAUGUACAUUACAUAAUACAAUGCAAUAUAAUAUAAUAUAGUGUGCCAAACGGACCUUUAACUUUUUUAGUGAUGAUGGUUUAGAGGGAUGUAGAGAAAGUAAAAAUAAUCAUGGUAGAUCUUUUACAAUGGUUGAUUAGCUAUUAUCACAAAGUUUAGGCUAAUACAAUAAAAAUUAACCAACUAUCCUAUAUUUAAAAGAGCAUUUGGAAAUCAAUAAAUUUAUUAUUCAAUUAUUUUUAAUCAGGAAUAAAUAAUAAAUUAUCAUUACAACAAGAUUGACAAGCUCAAAUAUCUUAAAAAAUGAUAAUCCUCAAGAAAUAUGAAGCUCAAAUGCUCUUGAAAUAUUCUUUAAAAAAAAAACUAACUUCCUUUCAUAUUAUUCUUUAUUUAUCUUUCUAUAACUUUGUUGGGCUAUAUAUAUAUUGAUAUUUUAUAGGUAAAUUAACAUAUUGUAUGUAUAAAUAAACUAACAUAUCAACUAAUGCUAAAAACAAAAAUGUAAUAAAAAAGUAAAGUUUUGUAAUAUUAAAAUAAUAAAAUUUUACAACCUAAGACUUAUUUAUUUAUUUUACAUUAAAUAUAUAUUAAAUAACAAAAAAUAUUAUUUACAUUUAUCAAAUUUUCAUGUGUUUAAAAAUUUUAUGUGAUAUUACAUUAUUAUAUUUACACCAUCAAUUAUUUUUAUGAUCAAAUUAAGUCAAUAGAUCAAACUUUAAAAAAUUUAAAACAACAGAAAUUAUGUAAGUGAAUACUUAAAACUUUUAACUUUUAUAAUUUUGUAGUAAAUAAUAGGAACUUAAGUGUUAAUAACUAAUUGAACACAUCCUAACUGUUGAACACUUUAGCUAUUGAUCCAUUGGCUGAGUUGAAAAAAGAUAAAAAGUGGGGUACCGUGCAACUGUUGCACGGUAGGCGGACCCUAAUUUGUAAUCUAUUUUCGCAUCUAUCAACUCAAAAUAUGGCACUAAAAAUUAAAAGUGGGUCUGAACAUGGACCCAAAUAAGUUAAAUAAACGAAUAUACAUUAUAACUUAGGACACUUGGGAUCAUUAUAGCAAUUGCUUACUGAAAACGUUUAGAAAAUUUUAAGACGAUGGACCAUUUUAAUUGCCUGACACUGGAAAUUGCUAUUAUCACGUGAUGGUAAAGUUACAGGAACGGAAUUUUUGUAAAGUACAAAUGUAACGUACUGUCAUAACCGGCAAUGCCAAAUUUGAAAUAUUUAUAAGUUUUCAAGAGGUUAUCAGAUGACAUUGUAAAUGAUUGUGAUGGCUUUUUUACAAUUUCAAGUUAAAAUGAAAUUUUGGAUGUUAUCUAAUUGUUUUCUUCAUCAUUUCACUGUUACAUAAUUGUCAAUGAUUGUGAUGGCUAAUUUACAAUUUCAAGUUAAAAUGAAAUUUUGGGUGUUAUCUAAUUGUUUUCUUCUUCAUUUCACUGUUACAGAAUGAUUUGAACAAAGACUACGAGUUCGUUAUAUCAAUUUGAACUAAACUUUGUAAGUAUAACACUAAGAAUUUUUCGUGUGCCACAAUUUGCGCAACUAAUUGAGGGGUGGACUAGAUUAGUUUUGACAGCUAGAAUAUAAUUUGACUGACUUUACGAUAUACAAAAAUAUUGAUCACAAUUCUUCAUCAUUCGGUGCCAACGUUUACAUUUUUCGAAAGUAUACAUUGAACAAUAAUAGCGUAUAAUUUGAUUCACUGUAUCUAUAUACUUGAAAUAGACUAUUCAUGCGGCUUGUCAUUUUUAUUAGAAUCACACUACGUUACAUUAAACGUAACGUACACACACUCACAGCAACAGUAACAGGUCUCAUUUUGUUACUGUUACUGUGAGUGUGUGUAUGUUACAUUUAUAUAGCACUCGCCUUUUUAUUAACGUCUAACUUCUUCAAUUCAAUGUUAAAUCACUAUCAAUCAUAAAAUAUUAUUAUUUUACAUUUUGUGAAAUAGAGACCUCACAUUAGAGCCAAGGGUAAAGCUAUGGUACCACAACUAGAUCCAACCAUUAGAUCAAGCCCACAGUUGUCACUAGAACUGGAUCCAAUGGCUGGGUCCAGCUAUAGUACUAUAUAACUGUGGCACCCUAGCUGGACCCUAGAGCCAAACUGCAUAACGUCCAUAAAUUUUCAUUCAUAUCUCUUCAAUUUUUCAAAAUUUUCAUGUACAGAUCAAGUCAAGGUAAGUCUAUUGGAACCGUAUUCUACACGAACGAAAAGUAGGCACAAAUUAUUAAAUGUCCAUAAAUUUUCAUUCAUAUCUCUUCAAUUUUUCAAAUUUUUCAUCUACAAGUCCAAGUCAAGGUAAGUCUAUAGGAACCGUAUUCUACACAAACGAAAAGUAGGCACAAAUUAUUAAAUUAUCACAGGAAAAAGAGGUAAAAUACUUGUUUACUACCUUAUAUUUUGAGUUAAAUGUCCAUUUAAUUUUUAUAUUUUAAAAAAUAAUAUAGGAUAUUUUUGUCAUUAAUUAUGUUACAGAUUUACAGUUAAAAGUUACUUUAUCUUUGUUUUACAAUAAUAUUCUGCAAAUAUUGAAUAAUAUAAGAUAUAGGCUCAAGCAACAAUCUAUUGAAAAAAAUAAACGUUAAUUUUUUAUCUUUUUUAAAGUUAAUUUGUUAAAUUAACCUUUUUUUUUCAUUUCAUUAAUGUUCACGGAAUUGUUGUUUUGGUCCACAUACCCUGUUAGUCAACAUCGCAACAUUGCAAGGGUAUUAUUGUAAGAAUAAAAAAAUAAUAAAAUGUGACAUAAAUAAUGACAAGAAUAUCUUGGAGUAUUGUCUAAAGCAUAUAUUUAAUCCAAAAUAUAGGGACUGGAUUUAAACAUAAGAGCUCUAUAAAACCCUUGCUCUAUGAAUCAAUUUUGCACAUCACAACUUCUCUUUUUGCUGAGCUUAAAAAAAUUCCUCUCAAAAUGGCUCUGUUCAAUCUUAAUAAAGAUUCACCAACCUUUCUUUUGUUUGCAAUUUUCACAUUGGCUAUUCCCACAAUUGUAUUGUCUCAAGUGGCCAACCUUGUGACACCAGAAUUCUUUGAUGGGAUAAAGAACGUAGCCGAUCCAAGCUGUGCAGGCAAGAGUUUCUAUACAAGAAAUGCUUUUCUUAAUGCUGCCAAUUCAUAUCCUGAAUUUGGAUCUGGUUCUGCUGAUGAAUCUAAGCGUGAAAUCGCGGCAUUUUUCGCUCAUGUCACUCAUGAAACUGGACGUAAGACUUCUGUCCUUGCCUUAUUCAUUUUGCCCUUAUUCUUUGGUAGUCCACAGGGGUAUGAUAAAUUUUGUGCGUUCUAACAUGCAAGAAUUGAAUCUUAAACUCACUCGAGAACCUCUCUUCGUCGAGGGAAUAAUUUCACAUUGGCUGAGAAUAGUGCUUACUUUAUAAUAAGUUUGAGAUGAUCCACUGCUUUUAAACUAAUUAAUUUUUUUUUAUCCAAAAUAUUUAUGUUUCAACUAGGAUGAGGUUUUUCUCCUAUUCCAAGACCGGUGGCGUUGGGUUGGAAGGAGAUGAGGGGGGAGAUGAAAGUAAUUUGAAUUUAUUUUUCAUUUCAGUUGUUUGGUUGGUUAUAAUCUAUAAGAAUUUAAUCUCUAUUAAAAUUUAAUAUCUAUCAUAAUGUUAAAUUUGGAUUCCACACCAACGAAUGAAGAAUUCAAAAUCCUCCUCUACUGGAAACCAAAACUUCCAACUAGCCCUUCAAUCUUCAUGAACUUGUUUAAUGUUAUGAGUAAUUAUUAUUUAUAAUUCUGUUUUUAUCAGCUUAAUAUUAUAUAUAAUUAAUUUUAUAUGAAAUAAAGUUAAAAGUACCAAUUUAAACAACUUAAUAAAUAACUUUAUUUAUUUAAUUAAUUUAAAAAAAAUAAAGAUAAAUUUUUUAAAAAUGAUUAGAUUGUCACCGCUCUGCUACCAAAACUGGAGCAUGGAAUGUUGCCAUCGGUACCAAUUGGACUCGGCAAUCAAUGAACAAAGUCACUCAAAAAUAGGAUGAAUUUUGUUCAAAUCCAGUUGAAAAGGUUUGAAAACCUUUUGGUUUCCAUAGAUCCGAACAAAUAUCAAAUUUUUUGACCAUAUAAAUUAAUCCGCUAUAGAGAUUGUCGAUUUCUAACCAUUUUGGGUUUUUAAGUAAAAUUUUAUAAAAUUACAAUAUAUUGAAUGAGAAAUUAUUUCUAUUAUCUUAUAAUUUUUUUAAAAAUAAAAUUAUGCUUUAUAAAAAAUUUAAAAUAUAUAAAUACAGGUAUAAAAAUUAAAAUAAGUUUUAUUACUUAUUUUACAUAAUAUAUUAAAUAAACUGUUUAAUUUUUUGAAUUAUAUUACUUAUAACAAAUAUUGAAAUUUUAAAACUAAAGGAUAAAACUGUCCAAAUAAAAAAAUGAAUUUCUCUUCUUUGAAAAAUUAUGUAACAAACUAAAUAUUAAAAAGAAUUCUACUCCUCUCCUCUCCUUUUUCUCUUGUUUCCUCCACUUUCCUCUGCUCUCAUUUCCCCACCUUCCUUCAAACCAAACAACACUUUAGUGUGCAUUAUUAUUUAUGUGUAGUCAAGAUUUCUUUUUUAAUUAUUAUUUUAUUUUUUUAGCAGGAACCAAUCAGUAACUUAUAUGUUUCUAACGCUGAUAGACAAUGUUAAGAAAAAAAAAUGAUUCUGACUCUUAAAACAUAAUCUUGAUUUUUUUGUGUUAUAAUUUGAUAAAUAAAAAUUUAAUAAUUGCCACUUUAAAACAUCAAAGCAUUUCCAAGUCUAUAGAAAAUGACCUAGCUAAAACUAAUAACAAUGAAGAUGUUAUUAUUAUUAUUAUUAUUAUUAUUAUUAUUAUUAUUAUUAUUAUUAUUAUUAUUAUUAUUAUAUCGGAUUCGACGGUCUAAACUCACCGGAAACGGUGGCCAAUGACCCAGUUAUAUCUUUCAAGACUGCCUUGUGGUUUUGGAUGACCAAUGUGCACUCUGUUGUAAACCAAGGCUUUGGGGCAACCAUUCAGAGAAUCAAUGGUGCUCUUGAAUGUGGUGGCAAGCAGCCCGAUAAAGUUCAAGCUCGUAUCGGAUAUUACUGCUGUACCGUACAUCCGGUCUUGUUAAUUAAAAUACGCUUUGCGUGCAUGAACAAAAAUGCAUGUAGUACUUACUACAAGACUAUUAGAAUAAAGAGUUGUUUCAAACAACUUGUUUACUUCCACUGUGGUGGCUUUUAUACGCACUCAGAAUGAAAUAAAGAGUGCAUGUUACAUUAUUUUGUAACUUGAUAAGGUCCAAAUAAAUAUCAGUUUGUGUACGUAAUUAUAGAAAUAUUAUUUGCCUUUCUAUCUUUCUUUGAUUUUUUCUUUAAUUAUUAGCUGUAUAAGGCCUGUACUGUAAUUUUGUGUUUUAAGUAGCCA
rnacentral:lncRNA from 1 species